rnacentral:rRNA from 1 species
GACGAACGCUGGCGGCGUGCUUAACACAUGCAAGUCGAGCGGAGCGGCGAACGGGUGAGUAACGCGUGAGUAACUGCCCCCCUCUCUGGGAUAACAGUUGGAAACGGCUGCUAAUACCGGAUAGUGGGGGAUGACUCGCGUCCUAUCAGCUUGUUGGUUGGGUAGUGGCCUACCAAGGCGACGACGGGUAGCCGGCCUGAGAGGUCGACCGGCCACAUGGGGCUGAGAUAGGGACCAGACGCCUAGGGGAGGCAGCGGUGGGGAGUAUUGCAGAAUGGGGGAGCCCGGGAUGGAGCAACGCGGGUGCGGGAUGACGGCUUUGUGUUUGUAAACCUGUUCCAGCCAUAACGCGGUAUUGGAAGAAGAAGCACCGGCUAACUACGUGCCAGCAGCCGCGGUAAUAC